AUGCAAGUCGAGGGGUAUAAGUCUUCGGAUUUAGAGACCGGCGCACGGGUGCGUAACGCGUAUGCAAUCUACCUUUCACAAAGGAAUAGCCCAGAGAAAUUUGGAUUAAUGCCUUAUAGUAUAACGAGUUCGCAUGGAUUUGUUAUUAAAGAUUUAUCGGUGAAAGAUGAGCAUGCGUCCCAUUAGCUUGUUGGUAAGGUAACGGCUUACCAAGGCUACGAUGGGUAGGGGUCCUGAGAGGGAGAUCCCCCACACUGGUACUGAGACACGGACCAGACUCCUACGGGAGGCAGCAGUGAGGAAUAUUGGUCAAUGGGCGCAAGCCUGAACCAGCCAUGCCGCGUGCAGGAUGACGGUCCUAUGGAUUGUAAACUGCUUUUAUACAGGAAGAAACAACUCUACGUGUAGAGUCUUGACGGUACUGUAGGAAUAAGGAUCGGCUAACUCCGUGCCAGCAGCCGCGGUAAUACGGAGGAUCCAAGCGUUAUCCGGAAUCAUUGGGUUUAAAGGGUCCGUAGGCGGCUUAAUAAGUCAGUGGUGAAAGCCCUACGCUUAACGUAGGAACGGCCAUUGAUACUGUUAGGCUUGAAUUAUUAGGAAGUAACUAGAAUAUGUAGUGUAGCGGUGAAAUGCUUAGAGAUUACAUGGAAUACCAAUUGCGAAGGCAGGUUACUACUAAUGGAUUGACGCUGGUGGACGAAAGCGUGGGUAGCGAACAGGAUUAGAUACCCUGGUAGUCCACGCCGUAAACGAUGGAUACUAGCUGUUGGGCGCAAGCUCAGUGGCUAAGCGAAAGUGAUAAGUAUCCCACCUGGGGAGUACGUUCGCAAGAAUGAAACUCAAAGGAAUUGACGGGGGCCCGCACAAGCGGUGGAGCAUGUGGUUUAAUUCGAUGAUACGCGAGGAACCUUACCAAGGCUUAAAUGUAGAUUGACCGUUUUGGAAACAGAACUUU
rnacentral:rRNA from 1 species